AACGAACGCUGGCGGCAUGCUUAACACAUGCAAGUUGUGCGAGAACUAAGAAGCUUGCUUCUUGGGGACAGCAGCGCACGGGUGAGUAACGCGUGGGUAACGUACCCUAGGGUUGGGAAUAACUCACCGAAAGGUGAGCUAAUACCGAAUACGUUCCUGAGAGAUGCGUCUCUUAGGAAGAAAGCAGGGCAACCUGCGCCCUUGGAUCGGCCCGCGUUCCAUCAGUUUGUUGGUGGGGUAAUGGCCUACCAAGACUACGACGGAUAGCUGGUCUGAGAGGAUGAUCAGCCACACUGGGACUGAGACACGGCCCAGACUCCUACGGGAGGCAGCAGUGGGGAAUAUUGGUCAAUGGGCGAAAGCCUGAACCAGCAAUGCCGCGUGAGUGAUGAAGGCCUUCGGGUUGUAAAGCUCUGUCAGUGGGAACGAAUAAGCCGAUUAAUACUCGGUGGUGACGGUACCCACAAAGGAAGCACCGGCUAACUCUGUGCCAGCAGCCGCAGUAACAC
rnacentral:rRNA from 1 species